rnacentral:rRNA from 1 species
UGAUCCAGCCAUGCCGCGUGAGUGAAGAAGGCCCUCGGGUUGUAAAGCUCUUUUGUCCGGAAAGAAAAGCUUUCGGUUAAUACCCGGAAGUCCUGACGGUACCGGAAGAAUAAGCACCGGCUAACUUCGUGCCAGCAGCCGCGGUAAUACGAAGGGUGCAAGCGUUACUCGGAAUUACUGGGCGUAAAGCGUGCGUAGGUGGUUCGUUAAGUCUGAUGUGAAAGCCCUGGGCUCAACCUGGGAAUUGCAUUGGAUACUGGCGGGCUAGAGUGCGGUAGAGGAUGGCGGAAUUCCCGGUGUAGCAGUGAAAUGCGUAGAGAUCGGGAGGAACAUCCGUGGCGAAGGCGGCCAUCUGGACCAGCACUGACACUGAGGCACGAAAGCGUGGGGAGCGAACCGGAUUAGAUACCCGGGUAGUCCACGCCGUAAACGAUGGAUACUAGCUGUUGGAGGUAUCGACCCCUUCAGUAGCGAAGCUAACGCGUUAAGUAUCCCGCCUGUGGAGUACGGUCGCAAGACUAAAACAUAAAGGAAUUGACGGGGAUCAGCACAAGCGGUGGAUCGUGUUCUUUAAUUCGAUGCUAAACGAAGAACCUUACCAGGGCUUGACAUCCAGGGAAGCACUACGAAAGUAGAGUGUGCCUUUUGGAACCCUGUGACAGGUGUUGCAUGGCCGUCGUCAGCUCGUGUCGUGAGAUGUUUGGUUAAGUCCAUCAACGAGCGCAACCCUUGUGAUUAGUUGUAUUUUUCUAAUCAGACUGCCCCGGUAACGGGGA